GGGUUGUGAGGUUAAGCGACUAAGCGUACACGGUGGAUGCCCUGGCAGUCAGAGGCGAUGAAGGACGUGCUAAUCUGCGAAAAGCGCCGGCGAGGUGAUAUGAACCUUUGACCCGGCGAUGUCCGAAUGGGGAAACCCAGUGUGUUCCGACACACUAUCGUUAACUGAAUACAUAGGUUAACGAGGCGAACCGGGGGAACUGAAACAUCUAAGUACCCCGAGGAAAAGAAAUCAACCGAGAUUCCCCCAGUAGCGGCGAGCGAACGGGGAGCAGCCCGGAGUCUGAAUCAGCUUGUGUGUUAGUGGAACGGUCUGGAAAGUCCGACGGUACAGGGUGAUAGUCCCGUACACGAAAAUGCACAGGUUGUGAACUCGAAGAGUAGGGCGGGACACGUGGUAUCCUGUCUGAAUAUGGGGGGACCAUCCUCCAAGGCUAAAUACUCCUGACUGACCGAUAGUGAACCAGUACCGUGAGGGAAAGGCGAAAAGAACCCCGGCGAGGGGAGUGAAAAAGAACCUGAAACCGUGUACGUACAAGCAGUGGGAGCACCUUCGGGUGUGACUGCGUACCUUUUGUAUAAUGGGUCAGCGACUUAUAUUCUGUAGCAAGGUUAACCGUAUAGGGGAGCCGAAGGGAAACCGAGUCUUAACUGGGCGUUAAGUUGCAGGGUAUAGACCCGAAACCCGGUGAUCUAGCCAUGGGCAGGUUGAAGGUUGGGUAACACUAACUGGAGGACCGAACCGACUAAUGUUGAAAAAUUAGCGGAUGACCUGUGGCUGGGGGUGAAAGGCCAAUCAAACCGGGAGAUAGCUGGUUCUCCCCGAAAGCUAUUUAGGUAGCGCCUCGUGAACUCAUCUUCGGGGGUAGAGCACUGUUUCGGCUAGGGGGCCAUCCCGGCUUACCAACCCGAUGCAAACUACGAAUACCGAAGAAUGUUAUCACGGGAGACACACGGCGGGUGCUAACGUCCGUCGUGAAGAGGGAAACAACCCAGACCGCCAGCUAAGGUCCCAAAGUCAUGGUUAAGUGGGAAACGAUGUGGGAAGGCACAGACAGCCAGGAUGUUGGCUUAGAAGCAGCCAUCAUUUAAAGAAAGCGUAAUAGCUCACUGGUCGAGUCGGCCUGCGCGGAAGAUGUAACGGGGCUAAACCAUGCACCGAAGCUGCGGCAGCGACACUAUGUGUUGUUGGGUAGGGGAGCGUUCUGUAAGCCGUUGAAGGUGUGCUGUGAGGCAUGCUGGAGGUAUCAGAAGUGCGAAUGCUGACAUAAGUAACGAUAAAGCGGGUGAAAAGCCCGCUCGCCGGAAGACCAAGGGUUCCUGUCCAACGUUAAUCGGGGCAGGGUGAGUCGACCCCUAAGGCGAGGCCGAAAGGCGUAGUCGAUGGGAAACAGGUUAAUAUUCCUGUACUUGGUGUUACUGCGAAGGGGGGACGGAGAAGGCUAUGUCAGCCGGGCGACGGUUGUCCCGGUUUAAGCAUGUAGGCGGAGGUUCCAGGUAAAUCCGGUACCUUGUUAACGCUGAGGUGUGAUGACGAGGCACUACGGUGCUGAAGUGAUAAAUGCCCUGCUUCCAGGAAAAGCCUCUAAGCAUCAGGUAACACGAAAUCGUACCCCAAACCGACACAGGUGGUCAGGUAGAGAAUACCAAGGCGCUUGAGAGAACUCGGGUGAAGGAACUAGGCAAAAUGGUGCCGUAACUUCGGGAGAAGGCACGCUGAUAGGUAGGUGAAGCCCCUGCGGGCGGAGCUGAAAUCAGUCGAAGAUACCAGCUGGCUGCAACUGUUUAUUAAAAACACAGCACUGUGCAAACACGAAAGUGGACGUAUACGGUGUGACGCCUGCCCGGUGCCGGAAGGUUAAUUGAUGGGGUUAGCGGCAACGCGAAGCUCUUGAUCGAAGCCCCGGUAAACGGCGGCCGUAACUAUAACGGUCCUAAGGUAGCGAAAUUCCUUGUCGGGUAAGUUCCGACCUGCACGAAUGGCGUAAUGAUGGCCAGGCUGUCUCCACCCGAGACUCAGUGAAAUUGAACUCGCUGUGAAGAUGCAGUGUACCCGCGGCAAGACGGAAAGACCCCGUGAACCUUUACUAUAGCUUGACACUGAACACUGGUCCUUGAUGUGUAGGAUAGGUGGGAGGCUUUGAAGCGUGGACGCCAGUCUGCGUGGAGCCAUCCUUGAAAUACCACCCUUUAAUGGCUGGUGUUCUAACGUAGACCCGUGAUCCGGGUUGCGGACAGUGUCUGGUGGGUAGUUUGACUGGGGCGGUCUCCUCCCAAAGAGUAACGGAGGAGCACGAAGGUUGGCUAAUCCUGGUCGGACAUCAGGAGGUUAGUGCAAUGGCAUAAGCCAGCUUGACUGCGAGCGUGACGGCGCGAGCAGGUGCGAAAGCAGGUCAUAGUGAUCCGGUGGUUCUGAAUGGAAGGGCCAUCGCUCAACGGAUAAAAGGUACUCCGGGGAUAACAGGCUGAUACCGCCCAAGAGUUCAUAUCGACGGCGGUGUUUGGCACCUCGAUGUCGGCUCAUCACAUCCUGGGGCUGAAGUAGGUCCCAAGGGUAUGGCUGUUCGCCAUUUAAAGUGGUACGCGAGCUGGGUUUAGAACGUCGUGAGACAGUUCGGUCCCUAUCUGCCGUGGGCGCUGGAGAAUUGAGGGGGGCUGCUCCUAGUACGAGAGGACCGGAGUGGACGCAUCACUGGUGUUCGGGUUGUCAUGCCAAUGGCACUGCCCGGUAGCUAAAUGCGGAAGAGAUAAGUGCUGAAAGCAUCUAAGCACGAAACUUGCCCCGAGAUGAGUUCUCCCUGAGACCUUGAGUCUCCUGAAGGAACGUUGAAGACGACGACGUUGAUAGGUCGGGUGUGUAAGCGCAGCGAUGCGUUGAGCUAACCGAUACUAAUGAACCGUGAGGCUUAACCUUACAACGCCGAAG
rnacentral:rRNA from 1 species